UAUUCGUCCAUUUGCACGCCAGCAUUACUGUGGCAAAAUGCUUUUGCGACUGAAGUCUCCAUUUGAAGUCGAAAAGGUUGAUUCAACUUACGUUGAUGGUCAUUUGACAGAAAAGCAAUGGAGAAACCGUCACCUCUUGACUACAAACGGUACCUCCUCAUUGUGACAGAUGGAUCCAUGAAGAUUCUGGAGAUAUAGCCAUAUUGAGAUGGAUGUCUAUUGGUUAUUUGCUCAAGGGAUCACUUCAUGAAUUCAGAUUUGCCCUUUGCAAUUGGGCAAGUUACUGCAUUUUUGUGCAUUCUUUUAAGUUCUUGAAUAGUGCUCAACCUUGAAGAUGAGCAUACCAUCUAAAAGGCUUCAUAAUGGAAAAGCAUCCAGAUCAGCUGAGCUAAACAGUAUUGUACUCAACAUUUUCCUAUUAUGAGCCAAAUGGAGUAAUGAAUUACUAGAAGGUGGACAAAUGCUUGAAAUGAUUACUUCAGUCGUCUAGAAAACACCAGGGUCAGAUACUGGAAUAUUGAUCCGCUUUAUAGCAUUUCAAGGUUGUAGAUUUGGGAGUGGACGCAGUAUGGGUUAUAGAUUUAUUUUGGAGUUGACGCAGUAUGGAGUAAUGAAUUACUAAGAAGGUGGACAAAUACUUGAAAUGAUCACUUCAGCCUUCUAAAAAACACCAGGGUUGGAUACUGGAAUGUUGAUUCGCUUUAUAGCAUUUCAAGGGUUGCAGAUUUUUGGGAGUUGACACAAUAUGAGUUGUAGAUUUAUUUUGGAGUUGACGCAGUAUGAUCUGUUUGGGAUUUUGCAACACUUUGACCAAGUUAAUAUCUGGAAUCUAGAAUAAAUCUGUAUUUAAUCAUCCUCUGUUUGUGCAUUAUGCAAUUUUCUGUAGUAGUACAAUUCAUUAAAGAAUCUAAAUUGUG